UCCGCAGGCUGCCUGUUAAGUCGGAUGUGAAAGCCCGGGGCUCAACUCCGGAAUUGCAUUCGAAACUGGCAGGCUCGAGUACGGGAGAGGGAAGCGGAAUUCCUGGUGUAGAGGUGAAAUUCGUAGAUAUCAGGAGGAACACCCGUGGCGAAAGCGGCUUCCUGGCCCGAUACUGACGCUCAUGGACGAAAGCGUGGGGAGCAAACA
rnacentral:rRNA from 1 species